rnacentral:tRNA from 1 species
UUAGGUGAAACCAAAGAGAGGUGUAUCAUUGUUAAUGGUAAAACUGAGUUAAAUCAUUCCGCCUAAG